GACGAACGCUGGCGGCGUGCUUAACACAUGCAAGUCGAACGGAAAGGCCCUGCUUUUGUGGGGUGCUCGAGUGGCGAACGGGUGAGUAACACGUGAGUAACCUGCCAUUGACUUUGGGAUAACUUCAGGAAACUGGGGCUAAUACCGGAUAGGAGCUCCUGCUGCAUGGUGGGGGUUGGAAAGUUUCGGGGGUUGGGGAUGGACUCGCGGCUGAUCAGCUUGGUGGUGGGGUAGUGGCUUACCAUGGCUUUGACGGGUAGCUGGUCGGAGAGGCGGACCAGCCGGGCUGGGACUGCGACACGGCCCCGACUGCGACGGGAGGCAGCGGUAGGGAACAUUGGGCGCGGGGCGCAAGCCUGAUCCAGCCGUGCGGGGUGAGUGGUGCAGGCGUUAGGGUUGUAAUGCUCUUUUGGCCGGGACGAGAAUGACGGUACCGGAAAAAGAAGCCCCGGCUAACUUCGUG
rnacentral:rRNA from 1 species